rnacentral:lncRNA from 1 species
GAGUUUUACUUCAGUUAUGACCUACAGAAGAAGACAUUGUUUGUGUCAACAAUUUUGAAAUCACAUUUCAGUUUUUCUAACGCUAAAAUGAAGUUUAUUUCCAGUAAGCAGCCUGUUACUUUUUUUAUUUCAAAAUCCAGUUUUGAUUCUCCUUAUAUAAUUUUACUACGUUACACCCCCUCAUUUUAAACUAAAAGUUUUGUCUUAUUUUAUUUGAUUAAAUUAAUCUUGAAUUUAAUUCUUUAAAUUACUGAAUAAUAUCUUACGCAUCAUUUUUCAAUUAUUUUAAUAAAAAAUCUCUAUAUUAAAUGAUUAUAAACAUUAGCUAAUUAAAAUAAUUAAAUAAUAAAAAAUUAAUAUUGUAUAAUUGAAUAAUAAAUUGAUACGAUAUGACUUGCAUUCUGUAAAUUAUUUAAAUUAAGAAAAACUAAUUUUAUAAAUUUUAUCUCAAAUUGGUUUCAAUUUAUCCUAUCAAAAUAUUAUUCACUUUUCUAAAGUUUAUAACCAUUGUCUCCGAACGAUAGCUCAAGUGGUAAGAGUCAGGGGACGUGUGAGUUGGGUGGGGGAGAUCUAGAGAUCAAUCUCUGGUGGAUGCAACUUAUCUUUUCAAUGUACCAAAAAAUGUUAUUACCAUUAGCAAGCACAUAUUUGAGCGCAGUAGCAGCAGCCCUGCGCAAGGAGCUUUGCCUGCAAUGGGGUGCUUGGUACACCUGAAAUGAAUAAAUAAAAUCAGCCGUAAUAUAAUUUGUAAUGCAGCAUAUGAAGAGAUAAGUUGAUUGUACGCACCAUGUGAUUCAGAAUAAACGUUAAUUGUUAUUGCAGAUGGAAUUGGAGAUGCAAGGAAAAGAGGUGUUAUCGGUUGUUCAAUGUUAGCGUCAAAUGCACUUUCUACUUCCAUGUCAGACAAAACUCAUCAGGAAUGUCACAUUCAUAACGUUCAUCCUCAUCUUUUGAAACAAUGACAUAAGCAUCCACUUUAUGGUCGAUUUGGUGAUCAUCAUUGGCCAAGUUAACCGUGGGAUCCACAAUGCAAUAUUCUGCUCUAGAAACUCACUGCUCGAUACAUCUAUCACCUUCAUCGUUUAAUGUCUGUGCAUUUAUCGGAUUCAUUGUGACAAAUAUUGAUGAACUUCCAACCUGAUCAAUAUCAACGUGCAACUCCAACACUAUCAUCAAUAAUUGCUGCUUAAAGUCAUUGAUCAUGCAUUCCACGUCCUCGUCAUCAAAUACUUGAAG